rnacentral:tRNA from 1 species
UCCUUGGAGGUCCAGUGGUUAAAACUCUGCACUUCUAAUGCAGUGGGUCCAAUGCAGGGUUCCAUCCCUGGUCAGGGAG